rnacentral:rRNA from 1 species
UACGUAGGGGGCGAGCGUUACCCGGAUUCACUGGGCGUAAAGGGGGCGUAGGCGGCCGUGUAAGUCCGGUGUGAAAUGCCACGGCUCAACCGUGGAACUGCGCUGGAAACUACACGGCUUGAGGACGGUAGAGGGAGACGGAACUGCUGGUGUAGGGGUGAAAUCCGUAGAUAUCAGCAGGAACGCCGGUGGGGAAGCCGGUCUCCUGGGCCGCUCCUGACGCUGAGGCCCGAAAGCUAGGGGAGCAAACCGG